rnacentral:lncRNA from 1 species
GUGCUUCUUGAAGCCUACAUUCUGGGGAUUCCAAAUAUGCAAUUAGUUUCAAAAAUCCAUGGUUGAAUCUUGAGUUGCUUGGGUUUUUAUUUUAAAACCCUAAGGAGAGUUCUUGAGCAAUUUUGAUGAAUGAAGGUGUAUUUUGGGGUAUUUUGGGACUGAAUUUCGUGUUUAUGGAUAAAUAAGGAUGGAAAAAUAACCAUUUUGCCCUAAAAAUGGAGUGUUUAAGUCACUUGAGUAAUAAUCUAUGCGGUGCACACUUUAUCGCAUAAUAUAGGUUGUGCGGCGCACUCUUUAUCGCACAUAUUAGGUUCUUCAUCGUACACCUUAUGGUAUAAGUUAGGUUGUGCAUCGGACACCCUAUGCUGCACGACACACUCUACUUUACAAAGCCAUAACUUCUUCCUCGGUGUGUUGAAAUUUUGCAAAAUUGGUAUCGUUGGAAAGAUAAUUCGAAUACCUUUC